UGAGAGGAAGGUCCCCCACACUGGAACUGAGACACGGUCCAGACUCCUACGGGAGGCAGCAGUGAGGAAUAUUGGUCAAUGGACGAAAGUCUGAACCAGCCAAGUAGCGGCAGGAUGACGGCCCUCUGGGUUGUAAACUGCUUUUAGUUGGGAAUAAAAAAGAGGACGUGUCCUCUAUUGUAUGUACCUUCAGAAAAAGGACCGGCUAAUUCCGUGCCAGCAGCCGCGGUAAUACGGAAGGUCCA
rnacentral:rRNA from 1 species